UAAACGCGUAAUACCUGCUGGACUCUUCACCAUGCAUGUACACAGAUUCCUGAAAAGAAAGAAACAAAUAUACAAGCUAGAGAGCAAGGAAAAGUGAAUUCCUUGGUCGUUUUUACUUUCUAUGGUUGCGUUCAAAUAUAAUUUCAGGUCGUAAAUAGAACAAAGACGAGGAAUGACAUAUUAAACAAACAUAGCUGGACCGUCAAAAGUAAAGUACAACA
rnacentral:lncRNA from 1 species